UGUAAAUGAGGAGAACACCGGACGCGUUCACACUUGUUCAAUUUUGGAACAUUGCGCGUUUAUAUUUUUAAUGCCUGUGUUCAGAAAAGGAGUUCUAUUUACGAGUUGAACACUUAUCAUUUGAACGUCAGUGUUCAAUGGUAGUCCUUCUGACUAGACAACAUGAAAGAAUUUGAGUUUUUGACUACUUGGGUAAGUUUUUUGGUCAAUAUAUUGUCAGUUGGGGUUACAUUUACGCAAUUUAACAAGUAAUGGUGCUUUAAUAAUUAAAACAUUUUAAAGUGGAACAUGAUAUGAACAGUAGCGUUCAUCGAAUGUUCUAAUUGAGAACGUUUCUAAAAAUAGAUUUGUGACAAUUUCUGACGUCAUUCAAGUACCACAACAACAACAACAACAACAACAACAAGUAAGCGUUGGCGAAACGCAAGCUGAACACUUUACAGUAACAAUGACUAAAAUUGAAGAAAAAAACGGAUAGCGAGUAAGUAGUGUUGUUUCAAGCAGUGAUGAAAGAUUUGAACUAUAGACUGUAGAUCUACAGAAACUGUUCCAGACUUCCAUACAGAUCUUUGAGGAUAGUGAAGAAUAUGAUUUUCCUGCUAAAUUGGAGACAAAUGAAAAUACCCCGUACAAACU